rnacentral:rRNA from 1 species
AGAAUCAACGCUGGCGGCGUGCCUCAGACAUGCAAGUCGAACGAUUAAAGCUCUCUUCGGAGAGUGUAUAGAGUGGCGCACGGGUGAGUAACACGUAAGUAAUCUACCUUCGAGUGGGGAAUAACGUUCGGAAACGAACGCUAAUACCGCAUAAUGCAGCGGCAUCGCAAGAUGACAGUUGUUAAAGGAUUUAUUUCGCUUGAAGAGGAGCUUGCGGCAGGAUUAGCUU